rnacentral:rRNA from 1 species
ACCGGAUAGGUAGCAGACAAGCAUUUGACUGCUAUUAAAGUGGCUAUGGCCAUGAACAUGGAUGGACCUGCGGUGCAUUAGCUAGUUGGUGAGGUAACGGCCCACCAAGGCGACGAUGCAUAGCCGGCCUGAGAGGGCGGACGGCCACAUUGGGACUGAGACACGGCCCAAACUCCUACGGGAGGCAGCAGUAGGGAAUUUUCGUCAAUGGGGGGAACCCUGAACGAGCAAUGCCGCGUGAGUGAGGAAGGUCUUCGGAUCGUAAAGCUCUGUUGUAAGAGAAAAACGGCACUCAUAGGGAAUGAUGAGUGAGUGAUGGUAUCUUACCAGAAAGUCACGGCUAACUACGUGCCAGCAGCCGCGGUAAUACGUAGGUGGCGAGCGUUAUCCGGAAUGAUUGGGCGUAAAGGGUGCGUAGGUGGCAGAUCAAGUCUGGAGUAAAAGGUAUGGGCUCAACCCGUACUGGCUCUGGAAACUGAUCAGCUAGAGAACAGAAGAGGACGGCGGAACUCCAUGUGUAGCGGUAAAAUGCGUAGAUAUAUGGAAGAACACCGGUGGCGAAGGCGGCCGUCUGGUCUGGAUUCUGACACUGAAGCACGAAAGCGUGGGGAGCAAAUAGGAUUAGAUACCCUAGUAGUCCACGCCGUAAACGAUGAGAACUAGGUGUUGGGGGAAUAACUCAGUGCCGCAGUUAACGCAGUAAGUUCUCCGCCUGGGGAGUAUGCACGCAAGUGUGAAACUCAAAGGAAUUGACGGGGGCCCGCACAAGCGGUGGAGUAUGUGGUUUAAUUCGAAGCAACGCGAAGAACCUUACCAGGCCUUGACAUCCCUUGCAGAGGUAUAGAGAUAUAUCCGAGGUUAUCAAGGAGACAGGUGGUGCAUGGUUGUCGUCAGCUCGUGUCGUGAGAUGUUGGGUUAAGUCCCGCAACGAGCGCAACCCUUGUGAUAUGUUACUAACAUUGAGUUGAGGACUCAUAUCAGACUGCCGGUGAUAAACCGGAGGAAGGUGGGGAUGACGUCAAAUCAUCAUGCCCCUUAUGGCCUGGGCUACACACGUACUACAAUGGCGUCUACAAAGAGCGGCAAGCCUGUGAAGGCAAGCGAAUCUCAUAAAGGACGUCUCAGUUCGGAUUGAAGUCUGCAACCCGACUUCAUGAAGCUGGAAUCGCUAGUAAUCGCGAAUCAGCAUGUCGCGGUGAAUACGUUC